CCUACGGGGGGCAGCAGUGAGGAAUAUUGGUCAAUGGACGAGAGUCUGAACCAGCCAAGUAGCGUGAAGGAUGACUGCCCUAUGGGUUGUAAACUUCUUUUAUAUGGGAAUAAAAUGUUCCACGUGUGGGAUUUUGUAUGUACCAUAUGAAUAAGGAUCGGCUAACUCCGUGCCAGCAGCCGCGGUAAUACGGAGGAUCCGAGCGUUAUCCGGAUUUAUUGGGUUUAAAGGGAGCGUAGGUGGAUUGUUAAGUCAGUUGUGAAAGUUUGCGGCUCAACCGUAAAAUUGCAGUUGAAACUGGCAGUCUUGAGUACAGUAGAGGUGGGUGGAAUUCGUGGUGUAGCGGUGAAAUGCUUAGAUAUCACGAAGAACUCCGAUUGCGAAGGCAGUUCACUGGACUGCAACUGACACUGAGGCUCGAAAGUGUGGGUAUCAAACAGGAUUAGAUACCCGGGUAGUC
rnacentral:rRNA from 1 species